UACAGAGGUCCCAAGCGUUGUUCGGAUUCACUGGGCGUAAAGGGUGCGUAGGUGGCCAGGUAAGUUCGGUGUGAAAGCUCGGAGCUUAACUCCGAAAUGUCAUUGAAUACUAUCUGGCUUGAGGGUCGGAGGGGAGACUGGAAUUCUCGGUGUAGCAGUGAAAUGCGCAGAUAUCAGGAGGAACACCUAUUGCGAAGGCAGCUCGCUGGGACGGUACUGACGCUGAGACGCGAAAGCGUGGGGAGCAAACAGG
rnacentral:rRNA from 1 species